ACUGCUCAGUAACACGUGGACAACCUGCCCUUAGGUUGGGUAUAAACCCGGGAAACUGGGUAUAAUACCCGAUAGGUCUCGAUUGCUGGAAUGCAUCGAGAUUUAAAGCUCCGGCGCCUAAGGAUGGGUCUGCGGCCUAUCAGGUAGUAGUGGGUGUAGCGUACCUACUAGCCUACGACGGGUACGGGUUGUGAGAGCAAGAGCCCGGAGAUGGAUUCUGAGACACGAAUCCAGGCCCUACGGGGUGCAGCAGGCGCGAAAACUUUACAAUGCUGGCAACAGCGAUAAGGGAACCUCGAGUGCCAGGUUACAAAUCUGGCUGUCGAGAUGCCUAAAAAGCAUUUCAUAGCAAGGGCCGGGCAAGACCGGUGCCAGCCGCCGCGGUAACACCGGCGGCUCGAGUGGUAACCGUUAUUAUUGGGUCUAAAGGGUCUGUAGCCGGCCGGAUAAGUCUCUUGAGAAAUCUGGCAGCUUAACUGUCAGGCUUUCAGGAGAUACUGUCUGGCUCGGGGCCGGGAGAGGUGAGAGGUACUUCAGGGGUAGGGGUGAAAUCUUGUAAUCCUUGAAGGACCACCAGUGGCGAAGGCGUCUCACCAGAACGGACCUGACGGCAAGGGACGAAAGCUAGGGGCACGAACCGGAUUAGAUACCCGGGUAGUCCUAGCCGUAAACGAUACUCGCUAGGUGUCGGCCACGGUGCGACCGUUGUCGGUGCCGUAGGGAAGCCGUGAAGCGAGCCACCUGGGAAGUACGGGCCGCAAGGCUGAAACUUAAAGGAAUUGGCGGGGGAGCAC
rnacentral:rRNA from 1 species